rnacentral:pre_miRNA from 1 species
AUACUACUCCCUCCGUCCGGAAAUACUUGUCAUCAAAUUGAAUAAAAGGGGGUAUAUCUAGAUGUAUUUUAGUUUUAGAUACAUCUCUUUUUGUCCAUUUUGAUGACAAGUAUUUUCGGACGGAGGGAGUACUUG